UUCCACUAUGUACCUUGUCUUUAAUAUUCGCUGCUUAGAAAUGUUAAGAUUCUAUAUUUGAUGUUUACAGUUUUAUUUCAUAUAAAUCCAUUAGGCUAAGAAGCCCAUGAGGCAUACAAGUACAAAAUUUUAUGGUGAAUAGUGACUGGCUGGAAUAGAACUGCAUGUAUUUACAUCAUGCAAGAAUAUAUAGAAAUAUGCUAUGAGAAAAAUAAACAAU
rnacentral:lncRNA from 1 species